rnacentral:rRNA from 1 species
UGGGGAAUAUUGGACAAUGGGCGAAAGCCUGAUCCAGCCAUGCCGCGUGUGUGAAGAAGGUCUUCGGAUUGUAAAGCACUUUAAGUUGGGAGGAAGGGCAUUAACCUAAUACGUUAGUGUUUUGACGUUACCGACAGAAUAAGCACCGGCUAACUCUGUGCCAGCAGCCGCGGGAAUACAGAGGGUGCAAUCGUUAAUCGGAAUUACUGGGCGUAAAGCGCGCGUAGGUGGUUUGUUAAGUUGGAUGUGAAAUCCCCGGGCUCAACCUGGGAACUGCAUUCAAAACUGACUGACUAGAGUAUGGUAGAGGGUGGUGGAAUUUCCUGUGUAGCGGUGAAAUGCGUAGAUAUAGGAAGGAACACCAGUGGCGAAGGCGACCACCUGGACUAAUACUGACACUGAGGUGCGAAAGCGUGGGGAGCAAACA